AUGAACGCUGGCGGCGUGCCUAAUACAUGCAAGUCGAGCGAACAGACGAGGAGCUUGCUCCUCUGACGUUAGCGGCGGACGGGUGAGUAACACGUGGAUAACCUACCUAUAAGACUGGGAUAACUUCGGGAAACCGGAGCUAAUACCGGAUAAUAUAUUGAACCGCAUGGGUCAAUAGUGAAAGACGGUUUUGCUGUCACUUAUAGAAGGAUCCGCGCCGCAUUAGCUAGUUGGUAAGGUAACGGCUUACCAAGGCAACGAUGCGUAGCCGACCUGAGAGGGUGAUCGGCCACACUGGAACUGAGACACGGUCCAGACUCCUACGGGAGGCAGCAGUAGGGAAUCUUCCGCAAUGGGCGAAAGCCUGACGGAGCAACGCCGCGUGAGUGAUGAAGGUCUUCGGAUCGUAAAACUCUGUUAUUAGGGAAGAACAAAUGUGUAAGUAACUAUGCACGUCUUGACGGUACCUAAUCAGAAAGCCACGGCUAACUACGUG
rnacentral:rRNA from 1 species